ACUUCUCUAGUAUUAAAUUAAUACAAAUGACUUCCAAUCAUUUUAUCUUGGUUAAACUCCAAGGAGAAGUA
rnacentral:tRNA from 1 species